UGACGGGGGCGAGAGCGAGUUUCCUCUA
rnacentral:sRNA from 1 species